GAUGAACGCUGGCGGCGUGCCUAAUACAUGCAAGUCGAGCGAACGGACGAGAAGCUUGCUUCUCUGAUGUUAGCGGCGGACGGGUGAGUAACACGUGGAUAACCUACCUAUAAGACUGGGAUCACUUCGGGAAACCGUAGCUAAUACCGGAUAAUAUUUUGAACCGCAUGGUUCAAAAGUGAAAGACGGUCUUGCUGUCACUUAUAGAUGGAUCCGCGCUGCAUUAGCUAGUUGGUAAGGUAACGGCUUACGAAGGCAACGAUGCAUAGCCGACCUGAUAGGGUGAUCGGCCACACUGGAGGUAGGCCGCGGUCCAGACUCCUACGGGAGGGAGCAGUAGGGAAUCUUCCGCAGUGGUCGAAAGUCUGACGGAGCAACGCCGCGUGAGUUGUGAAGGUCUUCGGAUCGUAAAACUCUGUUAUUAGGGAAGAACAUAUGUGUAAGUAACUGUGCACAUCUUGACGGUACCUAAUCAGAAAGCCACGGCUAACUACGUG
rnacentral:rRNA from 1 species